GCUAGCGUGCAAUUAAUACGUGAUCGUAUUAAUGUUAAUUGUAUAAAUGACGAAUUAUAACGUUAUAAUCGCAUUUAUUUUAUAUUUUUUGUGGGGGGAGGGAUCAUGGUUUGAUUGGUGGUCAAGCGAAUGAUUUAACAUACUAUAGCGCGCCUAUAGUUAUAUAAAUAGUUAAUACAGUUGCACUUCAUUUAAAGUCAGCGUUACCUCUCCCCCAUGGCCAUCGAACACCCCGAAGAUCGACGGGUGGCUCCGGUUGACGGGGUCGGCCAGCACCUCGAAGCGGUCCUCCAUGUGGUCCCGCCGGCCCUGGAUGGAGAAAACGGACACGCUGCUGCUCCUUAGCUCCCAGGUCUUGGCAAACUCGGCGUCCGCUCCGCCGAACGCGUCCUUCUGCAUGAUCUCCGCCACCUUCCCCUUGACCAUCUUGACGGCGUCGCGGCUGGACUUGACGAUGGUCUUCACCUCGUCCGUGUGGAAGAAGUAGCUCCACAGCGCCAGGCUGAUGCACAGCAGGAACAGGGUCUCCGGUCUGAGCAGAAAGUAACGCAUGAUCCGACCGAGCAGGGACAGCAGUGUCAUGGUACCCUCUAUCAUCUAAACGCACCGCUCUCUGACGCACGGGUCCUAGGGUCUCAGUCCAUGCCAGGCGGCACUGAGCUACUGGACCGCAGCGGUUACUACCACCCUACCACCAGGACUAGAGGCUUCACACUACCACCCUACCACCCGCACUAGAGGCUUCACAGCGAGGUGGACGACGUCCCCCGCAUCGUGACGGGGAUCACACCGAUCCAAAGAGAAAAUGACCGGUUUGAAAAGUCCGUACACCUAAAAAAAACCCAAAAAACACCACAACCGCCGACCUGGUGGACUCUAGCGUGGAGCCCUGCGGUAAACCAGCGGCCGCUCGCCGUCCCUCCGAUGCGGUGAAACACCGAGCAGAGAGCAGAGAGCAGUGGGCUCGGCCACCAGAACGAGACGAUAGCGUUCAGCUCCGCCACACCAAGCCCGCACAACCGCACACUAAAGAACCGGCUGUCGGUCACAGACUCCUCAUGGCCCCUCACACAGCCCCCCCCCCCCGGAAUAGCGGUGUGUGUGCGUUUGUGUGUGUGUGCGUGUGUUUGUGUACGUGUGUGUGCGUGUGUGUGUGUGGAUCCCCGCUCGCAUUCCCAGCUGCUGCUGCCUCCUGCCUGUGGGGGGAGUGCGCUCCAGAGAGGGUCUCUGCUCUGGAGGGUCUGUGUUCUAGAGAGGGUCUGGGUUCUAGAGAGGGACGUUCUAGAGCCAAGACCGCAGCACUCGGACAAUGUGUGGGGCGCAGAAUCCAGAGUUGUGUGUGUGUGUGUGUGUGUGUGUGUGUGUGUGUGUGUGUGUGUGUGUGUGUGUGUGUGUGUGUGUGUGUGUGUGUGUGUGUGUGUGUGUGUGUGUGUGUGUGAGUGUGUGUGCGUGUAUUUUUUGGGGGGGGGGGGGGCGUACGUACGUGUGCGUGUGUUUGUGUGGGGGUGUGGGGGGCUGCGUGUGCGUGUGUGUGUCAGCUUUAACUGAUUAAACAAAUUCAUUUAAAAUGUAAUUAGGCUAUGUGUGCUCAGGUGAGGAAAAACACCACUCAUCAUACCAAUUAUCCAAAUAUGUCAUUUGCACCGUUAGAUUGGACUAGGAUAGAUGAUCGCUGUAAGCGCUUUAAUAGACCUGCAAUAAACAACUUAACCCUCAGGUUUUAAUUUAGCAAUUAACAAUUAAUGGUACCUCAAAGGAUCACGUUCUCCCAUAGAGUCGACCUCUCGCUACGUGGGCUUGGUUAACAGGACAUGAUGGUGGUGUAUGAGAAACGGACCGUUUUACUAGCUGUUUGAAAUCUCCAGAAGGAAGCGACUGACUCAUCCGUCAUAAAUAAACGUGUGAAUGUGGUUCACUGCGAACACCGACCAUCAUCCGUGACACCCUCCGCCACAUGCAUGCAUCAACAUGCAUGUACACACAACUUCAAUAUAGCCCAACUACCCCCCCCCCCCCCCCCCCCCCCCCCCCCCCCAUCUGGCAAUACUGAUAUUGGAGGACACGGCUUCUGCACAGCGUCCACCCCAAAGGCGGUCCUACACGGGGGGCUAAGGGGGACCGUGCCCCUGUAGACAUGUCCCUGAACCCCCCCCCCCGUGCCCCCCCCCUCCUGCUGACCAACGUUCUACAGGGGUAAAUUAGAGGGGCUCACCCAAACAGCUUGGUGCUGCUGCUGGGUGAAUGGGAGCAUGUAUUAUCAUCUGUUUUGGCUGUUGCAUUGGUAUAACAAAUACAUUUAGGUAAAGAGUAGUAGGCCAUCUGCCUGUGUUAUUAGGGAGGGAUGAUUAUGCAAAGAAAUGUAAUGCAUAGCCCUAAGUGUCUUUUUCUUAUAAUAGCAUUUAUCAUGAAAUGAGGAAAGAACAGUAGAACAGGGAAGUUUUCUAAAAGGGAAGAACACAGUUCUUCACACUGAAACUGAUAAAUAAGGAAUGGCACAUUGUUUUUCACUUUGUUCUACCAUGGAAUUUCUUUUCACAUUGACACACAGUAUUUGUACCCUGUACUGUAUUUUUUAUUUUUCAUUUUUUAUGGCCCGCUUGCACGCUUGUACAAAACAAAUGUUUACAUGAUUUUGAUGAUUCAGGGCACAAGCUCCAUCAAUUUAAGAUAGUUUGACAGAAAAAUACAGAAUGGUGAAGUUAUAAACUC
rnacentral:lncRNA from 1 species